GCAUUUGAGUUCUAAAUAAAUUUUCCAGUUCUCUUAACUAAAGCGUGUAUUGUGUAUAUUAAUAUUUCGCGUAAUCAAGUAUAACAGUUACCUUUUCUAUGAUUAUUUAUUAGGAAUGCGAUUAUUAUAUGAGAUAUUCUGAUUGAAAGAUGUAUGAAAAAAAACUGACGUUUAACAAAUUUCUCGAAAGUACUAGUAUGCAACAUUUUACAUGAAAAUGACGAACUAGAUAAUUAGUAAACACGUUAAAUAAGUUGGUAUUACAGUACUAACAAGCUUAUGAUCCUGUAUCAUUUUUUGACAUCCGUUUUAAGUAUACAAAUAAUGCAUUUAAUUCAGUUUGCUUCAUGACCUUCAUUCCCGCCAAAAUCGUCCUUUUGGCGCCGUCUUUUGACAUUGUCAGUGCUUCUCAGUAUUGUGACGUUACUAUGGACCUUUGACGUUCUACACAAUCAACAAGAUUUGUGUGUAGAAGCCGUAAAUGUCCCUUUGGCAGCAAGAGGGUUAAUAUUGAACAUAGUAUUACAAUUGCCUACGUUUAUGUGAUUGGAUUUCAUGACGUCAUUCAUUGUUUACAAACGUUAUUUUUGCACUCGCACUGACAUUUCAACAAGUCAACAGUUCAAACUUCUUCUGGACAAAAGGAAUAAAUUCUCAGAAUGAUUAACAGCAUAGAAGACAGCCGCUGAAAUGGGAACGUACGAUGUGAAAAUUAAAGACCUAUAUACAGAAGGAUGUAUUUUAAUAUGGCAUUCAUCAGAAAAGACAAUAUUUAAUCAUAAACCAUGUAAUUCCGUUGAGUUUCGUACAAGUACCAAAACAUAAAAAAUGGAUGCUUGUAAUGAGCUCAUAUUAGAACUAGGGAGUCCUCUGGAAUUACCAAUCUACAUGUAACAAGACACAUCAUAUGUGAGACUGAAUUGAGGAAAAGACACCAGCCAGGAAACUGACAUUCUAUAAAGCAUUCCAAAGAAAAGAUGGCAAAGGGGGGAGAGCAAUAAAACAUGAUGCAAGCAAAAUUAAGUGUUUCUUUGAUUGUUUUAUUUAUGAACCUUAAUUACAAGGGUCAUAAAAUAAUCAAGGGGUUAUAUAGUACAAUUGUAUCCUAAGUUUCUGUUGAAUUUAACUAUAUUUUGUACUUAAUAUAUAUAUAUCAACAGAAAUAUUCUUUAAAUAAUUUAAAAUGUGCAAAUCUUAUUCCUCCGUUAUAUAAAAAAAUGUAGUGGUGCAUGCAGGCAAUAUUUUAUGAAAAAUUGUUUUCAAAUUCACCAAAAACUUGCUACAUAGCAAGAAUACGCCAUGUUUGCCAGCUUUUACAUAAAUAAAAAAAAACUUAAAUGUCACUGGUACAUCUAUAUGAAAUAAAGUCUGCUGCUGCCAAAAAUCAAGAUUACAAACUAUGUUUCUAAAAGUAGAUUACAACAAUACUGAACUCUGAAAAAUUUUAAAAAGCGGGGAAAUUUCAUAAACAUCUGGCAAAACCAAACGCUAAAGCACAUCAAAUAGCAGAACGAAUGGAAAACAACCGUCAUAUUCUUAAUUUGGUAAAGGCAUUAUCUUAAUUUUCUCAUAAUAAUCCUCCCAGUUUUUUCAAGUAUUCUUACUCUGAAAGGAAAAUAUGAAAGAAAAAUCAUUUGCAACUUUACAAAUUAUCGGCAUGAAAAUGAUUGACAUUUUUGUCACAGACUUCAUAUGUUUAUUUGACAAUAAAGAUUAUUAUAUUAAAACAA